GGGUCAGUAGGCUGGUCGUGCCAACGGUACGUACUGGUCUCACUGAUUCCUCCUUCCGGAAGAACCGUAAUGCCAUUAAUUUGGUGUUGCGGGGAAACAGGACUGUUACUUUGAACAAAUUAGAGUGUUUAAAGCAAGCUAACGCUUGAAUACAUUAGCAUGGAAUAAUGAAAUAGGACGAUCGAUCCUAUUUUGUUGGUUUCUAGGAUUGACGUA
rnacentral:rRNA from 1 species